GGACACCUGUGGAUGCGCGGUGAAGCUUUCUUUUCCUUUCUUUCUUUUUCUUUUUCUGUUCUUUUUCUUUUUGAGACAGGGUCUCGCUGCGCAGUUCAGGUUGCUUUUGAACUCACUAUGUAGUCUGGGAUGAUCUGAACUUUCAAGGAUCUUCCUGCCUCAGCAUCCUGAGUGCUGGGAUUACAGGCGUGUGCCACUACGCCUGGUUUGUGCCUUGAUGCUUUGCAUGCCUCGUAAGGAUGCUGCUCAUGCAUUUAAUAGAAACAGCAACAUUUUCUGAGAUGCCUUUACUCACAUGAAACAGUAUUGGAAGUGUUUAUUUUGUGUGGUGAAGGGUGUUCUGGGUCGAACCCAGGACACACAUAUGCUGGGUAAGUACUGAACUACAUCUUUAGCCCUUUUAAUUUUUUUUUUUUUUUUUUUUUUGAGACAGACUCUCAUUCAGCCCAGGCCCGUCUUGCAUUUCCGAUCCUCCUGCCACAGCCUCUAGAGAAGUUGGAACCACAGCUCCGUGCCACUGCGCCCAGCCUGUUUAUUUUACUUACAAGGCUGGUGCAGGCUAAGGUGGAGCAGAGCACUUCCUGGACCAGUCACGCUGUGGGUUGCAGGUGAGGACAUGGGCUGGGUUUCAGCCUCCACCGGGCCACUGCAGCAAGGAAUUGUGAAACCUGGUGGAGAAGGAAGGUGUGGCCUGACCCCAAAGGGGAGGGUGCGAGGAAGAGGCCCGGAGCGGGAAGCAGGAGUGGGAGGAGCCGCAGACUGGGAAGGGCUGGGAGGCGCGGUUCCCGCCUUCCGGGGACCCACCGCCAGCUGUUUUGGUGUCUGGGCGGAAGCUCCUGGUGUGGAGGAGUGAAGACACAGAGCCCAGAGCUAGAGAAAACGAAACCAGGUUCCUGUGACAGCAUUUAACUCCCCAUCCACCACAGCUUAAGCAGCAUCUACUCCUUGGACUGCUCAUUACUGUCCAUCCAUCCAUCCAUCCAUCCAUCCAUCCAUCCAUCUAUCAGCCGACCAUUCCAUCCAUUCUGUUGCUUGAGCCAGGUUGGAAGCUGGGCCUGGAACUCUUCUGUCCCCUCCUUUUGUCAGAAACCAGAGAAUCUUUGUGAUAUGAUUAUGCAUGAUGAUUAUGCAUUACGAUUAUGACUUUAUGACUUAUGACUGAUUAUGACUUUCUCCUAAGAACAAUUCUGAUCAAAUAACAUAGACAUCUGAAUAUCAGGAAACAAAAUGAGGGCCAGCUUGGUGGGCGAUAACAUUUAGACCCCCAAAAAAUGAUUCAAAGAAGGGCUGAGGAUUUAGCUCAGCAGCAUAAGCACCUGCCUUGCAAACAGACAGUCCUGAGUUCGAUCCCUGGUACCGAUAAAAAAAAAAAAAUGAUUCAAAGAAAAGGUUCUGGGCCGGGGGUUUAGCUCAGUGGCUUAAGCGCCUGCUUGGCAAGUGAAAGAUCGUGAAUUCAAUCCCCAAUACCAAAAAAAUAGAAAAGAACAGUUUCUUUCUAGUUAUAGAUGCCUUGGGUGAAAGUCUUGGGGCUGCACUUAUGCAAGAGUGAGUAUUUCUCUGGGCAGAAUUUCCUUCCAAGAGAACAGGAUUUCUUCGCAAUGUAGGCAAAAUUCUUGCUAAGGUUUGGAUGUUGGAUUACCUUAACAGCGUCCUGGGGCCAAUGGUUUUUAUCUUACAGCCACUAGCGAAGUCCUUCUGAUCUUGCUGACUUUCUCUGAAACUGACCAGUUUAACCUCACAGAGAAGAAAGGCCUGGAGGUCUCAGGGAUUCAGGGGAUCAGCUCGGCUCUCAGACAGAGCUAGCCGUCUGGGUGUCUGUUGGAUUUCAGUGGGAAGUGCUUUCAGUUUUAAAGCAGGAUUCAGAAUUCCAUGAUCUCAUAUUUUGUUAAUCCGGGUUUUCUGUUCAUUUCACCUGUGAAAGAUGACCUAGCCUUACAUUUGGUUAUCUGAUCUUUGACAAAAGGACCAAAAACAUAUGCUGCAAGAAACAUAAGCUCUUUAACAAAUGGUGUUGGGAAACCUGGUAAGAAAUGCAGGAGAUUAAAUCUAGACCAUAUCUCUUCCAUCUACUAAACCAAAAUCGAAAUGGAUCACAGAUCUAAAUGUUAAAAUAGAAGCCCUGUAUCUCCUGGAGGGUAAAACAGGCAAAACUCUUGAAGACAUAGGAAUAGAUAAGGACUUUCUACUUAUUUUUAAUUUAUUUAUUUAGACAGUCUCACUAUGUAGUGCAGGCUGAACUCACUAUGAAGCCCAAGCUCCCCUCAAACUCAGGGGCGAUCCUCCUGCCUCAGCCUGCCGAGUGCUGAGAUUAUAGGUGUAUGCCAGUAUCUCUGGCCACAUAAAGACUUUCUGAACAGUCUCAAUUGCAUAACAAAUAACAUCGUGAGUCAACACAUAGGAUUUUAGCAAAAUAAGCUUCUACAUUACAAAGGAAAUAACCUACAAAGUGAAAAGACAAUCUGAGGAAUGGGAAAAUUUUUUUUGCAGUUACAUCUCUGAUAGAGGACUAAGACUUAGAAUAUAUGAAGAGCUAGAAGAAAUUAGACUCAAUAAAAUAAAAGAAUUUUUAAAAAUGGCAACUGAAAUGAAUGGAUUUAUUUAUAAGUAUCCGAUAAAAUAUAGGUCACCAAUAAAUACAUGAAAAAAAUGUUCCACUUCUCUGGCCAUUAGAGAAAUGCAAAUCAAAACAAAACUGAGAUUGCAUCUUACUCCAGGAGGAAUGACUGUCAUCCUGAAAUCAGUAAUGAACGCUGGCAAACCUGCAGGGGUGGGGAACCCUUUUACGUUGCCUGUGGGAAUAUAAACUAGUCCAACCACUUUUGAAAUCAGUAUGGAGAUUCCUCAAAAAACUAAAAAUAGAAGUUCCAUUUGACUCAGCUCUUCCCCUUUUAAGUAUCUUCCUGAAAGAGUUAAAGGCAUGGUAUUAUAGGGACACAGGCAUAUGUGAGCUGGUGGCAGCACAACUUGUAACACCUAAGUCUUGGGAACAGCCUGUAUGUUCUUCAGCAAUGGGAUGGAUGAGGAAAAUGUAUUGUUUUUGUUUUUAUGGUACUGAGGAUCGAACUCACGACUUCACGCUUGCCAAGCAGAUGCUUAUGCCACUAAGCUAAAUCCCCACCCCUGGAAAAUGUAAUGAUGCACAGUGGAGUGCUGCUUCUUCUGUACAGAAGGAUAAAUUGAAUCACUUUUAGGAAAAUGGAUGCAAUUCGAGGUUAUAAUGUUAAAUGAAUCAGACACACAAGCUUAAAUAUCCCAUGGUUUCUCAUAUGAGUAGGAAAAAAGUAGAAAUAAAAAGCAAAAUAGGAGACAGAUAAUAGGAAACAGGGAGAUAGAUCUUUUGCAAAACAGAGGGAUCAAGAGAUGGAGGGAAGCGAGGGGAGGGGAAGAGAAUAAAGAAGAAUGAAAUGUGUCAUGUACAUGUACCAGCACCUGCGAUGACUGCAACCUUUGUGUAAUGCAAACAUUCACCAAUAAAAUUUUAAAAGAUAACAUUAAGAAAAAAACAACAGCCUGGUCUAAGACCCAGCACUUUGCAGACACUUGAUAAACUAUGGUUAUAUAAAUGGAGAAAGCAGUGGGUCAACAGAUAACCAUAGCCCCUGCAGUGUGGCUCUAACCUGCCAUUUCUUCUGACCAACCCAACUGGGACUUGAGUUAUUUGCAUCUUCACGGAUUUCCCCUGCUGUCGCAGAAUCACAGACACCGCGCUAUUUUGCAAGCUUAUCCCCCGCUUCUCACAGAUCUGGGCUAUAGAUACCAACUUUAUCAUGGCUUUGUUUUAUUGUCUCUCUGGAAAUUUUUUAGCCAUAAAGUGAAUUUAUGAUAUUUACUUGGGGCCGUCUAAGCUUUUUCUCUCCCAAGCAGUACCGUGUCUCCCUACAUGCUCUUUGGGAAAUGCCUUGGUGAUGAGAUGCUUUUCCUCUGAAGUUUGAAGCCAAUAAAUGAAGUCACAUAGCAAAUAAAAGUUUCUGUAUGUCUGUUAGAUUAUAAUUUCU
ensembl:lincRNA